AGUGAACGCUGGCGGUAGGCCUAACACAUGCAAGUCGAACGGCAGCACAGUAAGAGCUUGCUCUUACGGGUGGCGAGUGGCGGACGGGUGAGGAAUACAUCGGAAUCUACUUUUUCGUGGGGGAUAACGUAGGGAAACUUACGCUAAUACCGCAUACGACCUACGGGUGGAAGCAGGGGAUCUUCGGACCUUGCGCGAUUGAAUGAGCCGAUGUCGGAUUAGCUAGUUGGCGGGGUAAAGGCCCACCAAGGCGACGAUCCGUAGCUGGUCUGAGAGGAUGAUCAGCCACACUGGAACUGAGACACGGUCCAGACUCCUACGGGAGGCAGCAGUGGGGAAUAUUGGACAAUGGGCGCAGGCCUGAUCCAGCCAUACCGCGUGGGUGAAGAAGGCCUUCGGGUUGUAAAGCCCUUUUGUUGGGAAAGAAAAGCAGCAGGUUAAUACCCCGCUGUUCUGACGGUACCCAAAGAAUAAGCACCGGCUAACUUCGUG
rnacentral:rRNA from 1 species